UAAGUACCCCGAGGAAAAGAAAUCAACCGAGAUUCCCCCAGUAGCGGCGAGCGAACGGGGAGCAGCCCAGAGCCUGAAUCAGUGUGUGUGUUAGUGGAAGCGUCUGGAAAGGCGCGCGAUACAGGGUGACAGCCCCGUACACAAAAAUGCACAUGCUGUGAGCUCGAUGAGUAGGGCGGGACACGUGGUAUCCUGUCUGAAUAUGGGGGGACCAUCCUCCAAGGCUAAAUACUCCUGACUGACCGAUAGUGAACCAGUACCGUGAGGGAAAGGCGAAAAGAACCCCGGCGAGGGGAGUGAAAAAGAACCUGAAACCGU
rnacentral:rRNA from 1 species